GACAUGUCCUUGGAACAUCAGAUAAGAAAUGGAACUUGUUUUGAAAUUACUUCCAUGGAAUUAAAAAACAAAAAGAAACUUACACCAAAACUGCCAAGAAUGAAUUUUCCAUGUUAGCAACAGGAGUGCUUUAUAAACUUGUUAUCAGUGAUGCUUUUGACAUAUGCUGGAGGCCAGAAUCAAUGUCUAAGGGAUCCUCCACAUAAUUCUUACUCUGCUUUAAAAAAAAAAUAAAGCUUUAAAACCACACCCAUUUAUUCCAAUUUUUCUGGGCCCAAUAUGGGCCAAGUCAUCCCAGAAAUAAAGCAGCUUUGACUGUCUUUCUUUCCUGAUGGACUUGGGAAGCAGGAGGGAGGCUCUAUGUCACCACAGCAAGUAUAAGAGGCUAUACCUGCUGUUCUCUGUGACCUGCUUCUGCAAACCUGGGAUCCUGCAAUUCACAAGUGAAUGUGCUUUGUGUAUAGUUCCCCUGGGGCAUUAAAUCACUCGCUCCAAGGAGCUACUCUUUAGAUGAAAAACAGAAACAUAUAGUGGGCUUCACUCAGCUGAUGAAAUUGCUGUUGCUGCUUCAUCAUAGGGAAAUGAUUUCUGGGCUUAUGGAGUUAAGCCCCUUCCCCCUAUUUCACUAUCAGAAGAUAUAUCCUUGGCAUGUCUGACCACAAACUCAAGUUAUUUUGCAGAUUGCUUUUGUAGGAUUAAAACACCACCACCACCACCACGAACUGGC
rnacentral:lncRNA from 1 species